rnacentral:lncRNA from 1 species
AGGCCCUCUAACAAGUGGUAACUAGAAACUAGUCAGCAGACGACUUUUUUGUUAAAAAAUUCUGGAGCAAACAUGGGACCUGCUCUACUCGGCACGCCAACUUUUGGCCGGAUAGCACCUGCCAGUGGAACCCCACGACCACCAAAGACCCCUUGCAAGAACCCCACAUUACCACUGUUCAUGCAGAGUAUUAGAUUUUAGUACGUUCAGCAAUUCUCGGAGCAGGUGGGCACUUUCCGGAAACUGUAUGGAUAUGCACGCACGCUGAAUGUCUGUAAUCUGUGUGCUUUAGUUGCUGGGUAUGCACGUGAGGUGGAGCAAUCCCCCAUGCAUCCGGGGCCCUUAAGAAAGAACACCAGCUGCUGAAUACCACUGGAUGAAGUUACUGCAUCCUUGGAGAUCAGCCAUCAUCAGCUUUCAGCCAGAAUGGCAGCUUUUGCAGAAGUAGUCAUGGAACUCCACAAGAGGUGAAGAGGGAAAUAUGAAAACGAAGGUUUUUUUUGCAUUUGAAACAUCCCUAGUCUCUCUCUUCAGACAGAAGAAAUGAUUCCAUCACAUCACAUCCUCUUUCACUAGAGCUCACUUCUGUGAGCUCCAUGAGCUGGCAUGUUAGUGGCAAUCUCAAAUCCUAGAGGAGGGUAACAGGAAGGUGUGAACGGAAAAUGGCAGCAAGUCAUCGACACCCAGCUGGAGAUCACCAAGUGAAGACCGGGCACCUCCCCAAGUUGCAGUACUGCACCUGUCUGAAAUCCAGGUCUGGCCAAGCAUAGAAACCACUUGCAUCUGUUUGACCUGCACCUGUCUGUCAAGAAGAUUCAGAAAAAUGGAACACUAUUCUCUCUCAGGAAAGCUGAAGACAAAGCAGCAGAUAGAUGCCUGUGAGCAUCCCACAUUGGAGAAAACCUCGCUUCCUCCUGCCUCUGCAAAAUCCUGUUGCUGCUGUCAGAAGAGUGAAGACAAAGUAAAAAUAGGGAAAAAAUGAUCAGAGAUACUGCCAACUGUUACAGCUUUCUGGAUUAUAUCACUGCGAGUCAAAAAUACCUUGCAGACGUCCAGUCCUUUUGUCUCCUUUCCCAAGUCUGUCAGCAUUUUUAACAAAUCUGCCCUGAAUUAAACCUGAGAGUGCUCUUCUAUAUUGUUUACCAUUAAGCUUUUCUCCAUAUCUCUGCUUCUACUUCAUAUUCU